GCCGAAGUGGCGGAAUUGGCAGACGCGCAAGAUUCAGGUUCUUGUGGGGUUACACCUGUGGGGGUUCGACUCCCCCCUUCGGCACCA
rnacentral:tRNA from 1 species